rnacentral:rRNA from 1 species
GCAAGUCGAACGGCAGCACGGGGGCAACCCUGGUGGCGAGUGGCGAACGGGUGAGUAAUACAUCGGAACGUGUCCUGGAGUGGGGGAUAGCCCGGCGAAAGCCGGAUUAAUACCGCAUACGCUCUAUGGAGGAAAGCGGGGGAUCUUCGGACCUCGCGCUCAAGGGGCGGCCGAUGGCGGAUUAGCUAGUUGGUAGGGUAAAGGCCUACCAAGGCGACGAUCCGUAGCUGGUCUGAGAGGACGACCAGCCACACUGGGACUGAGACACGGCCCAGACUCCUACGGGAGGCAGCAGUGGGGAAUUUUGGACAAUGGGGGCAACCCUGAUCCAGCAAUGCCGCGUGUGUGAAGAAGGCCUUCGGGUUGUAAAGCACUUUUGUCCGGAAAGAAAUCCUCUGGGUUAAUACCUCGGGGGGAUGACGGUACCGGAA